CCACGCUCUGCCCGGGGUCUCGGAACUUGGGAAGGGAGGUCCCCACCUGUGGCUUGGGCCUUCAGUGUCACCCUCUCCAGUGUGUUUUGGAAAGAGGCCUCGUGCUUAUGUCCAAAGUCCCGUGUGCAACCUGGCAGGUGACCUUGGCCGCAAACUUUACCUGUUGGGAGCUCUUCCCUUCCCUGGGAAAGGUGCUUGGGAGGGGUUUCCGUGGGUGGCAGAAUCUGCUCCUGAAGGUGGGGGCGGUGCCGCCCUUAGGAAGCCUCCAGCCCAGGGACCCUGCCUGAGGCCCACAGGGGAUAUUUUCUGCUGUAAACUUUUUAAGGGAGUUUUGAGAAAAGCUGUUUUAGGAAUGACUUGGUAACCAGUAACUUACUGACUUGGAUUAGCUGUGAUCUUUCAGAUCCGUGUACGUGGAAAGUCUUAGAAAGCGAGAAAAGCAACUCAGUGUUUCUAAAUGUGGUGGCCAUUUUCUUGACACUGAACGGAUUUGUUUUCAGAAGCCAGUUAGGACCCCUCUGGCUAGCCCCUGCCCCAGCAGAUUGCUCCUAACCACUGGGACGUUGCUUUUGCUUUAAAAUCUUCCCAGGCAGUUCAAAUGCGUAACCUCUGACCUGGAAGAAGUCAGUGAGAGGGGCCCACAGGACCCUUCCCCCCAGUUCCUGCAGGGAAGGCAGAGCCCUCUCCCUGCCUGCAGCCCCAGGCCUGGUCCCUCCCAGACGCCUAAUUUAGAUCAAGGUCCAGCCAGAAGAGGGACCCGAUCUAACCACCUCGCCUAACGCCUCUCGGGAGGACCCUGUUUGAUAAUGAAGUCAGCACGAGAGAUGGAGACACAAAGAUUUCUGCUACAUCAAGUGAAUGCCUGGCUCCGCGGUUCCUGUGAUCUGUGAUGUGCUCUGUGACAUAGCACAAUGCAAUCCUUCUCUGUGCGUCUACCACUGUGAGCUAAGGCUCUUGUCAUUUGCUGUAAGCGUGCUCACCCCCUCCUGGAAGGAUGGCAGCUGUCUGAUGAAGGCGGCACUGAAGAGCUGUAAUGGUGCUACUGGAAAAUGGUGGCAGAGAAAUUACUAUUACUAUUACCUCGGUUCUUCGUCUCACGUGAAAGAAGAAUUUCCAAGCAGACAAGCAGAGGGAUUUAAAAAGAUUUAUUAGAGUCAAAGAUCUCCAGCCAGAGCAGCAUGAAGGGGGGCUUCAAAGAGAGGAAAAAACCUGAAAGGACUGGUAGCACUGGGAUUUUUUAAGUACAAUUUCGAAGGAAAAAAAAAAAAACAACUGGACAAUCAGAUUGGCAUUCAGUUACCAGGCAGGGACAAAAACCAUCAGAAGACCUGAUUUACAAUUCUCCAUCCUGUCUGGCCUGUUCUUGAUAAAACAGAAACCAUCCAGAAGGAAUCUUCUCAUUGUUCCAGAUAGCAGCCUCAACAGAGCUAGAGAAGACCGAGCCGCAGUCCCCAAGGAACUCAGACCAGUGGAGCAGCACAUAUCGGUUCUCUAUUGUGUAAGAAAUUACUUCCAAAGCGAGACGCUUAAUACAGCAAACGCUUGUGAUGCACAGUUUCUAUGGAUGAAGACUCUGGGCCCAGCUUUGCUGGGUGCCUCUACUCAGAGUUUCUGACAAUGAGACCAUGAGUGACAGCUGGGGCCCAGUCACCCCGGGAGCUUGCCUGAGGCCAUUCAUUUCCAAGCUCACCUGUGGGACAGUUGGCCCACCGCAAGUCCCUACUGGCCAUUGGCUGGAGAUGUGUGUCCUUCCUUGCCAGUACACCACAAUGACGAUGGUGCUUCCUCCUCCACAAGUCUUUUGUUCUAAUAUAUUUAUUUGAGAGGCAGAGACAUGGGGAGCUCCUAUCCACUAGUUCACUCCUCAAAUGCUCUCAAAGGACAGCGCAGGGACUGAAGCUGGGACUCAGGAAUGCGAUCCGGGUGUCCCAUGUGGGUGGCAGCAGCCCAGCGACUUCAGCCAUCACCACUGCCUCCCAAAGGCUGCACCAGUGGGAAGCUGGAGCCAGCGGCCGGAGCCAGGAGCUGAACCCAGGCAUUCUGAUGUGACACACGGACCUCUCAGCUCCUUGGCCAAAUGUCCACUCCUCCUCCACAUUCCUGUUAGAAGUGAGUUGGGGGCCGUGCUGUGGUGUAGUGGGUUAAGUAGCUGCCUGCAACACUGGCAUCGCUUAUGGGUGCCCAGUUCUAGUCCUGGCUGCUCCACUUCUGAUCCAGCUCCCUGCUAAUGUGCCUGGGAAGGCAGUGGAAGAUGGCCCAAAUAUUUGGCCACUGCCAGCCACGUGGGAGACCAGGAUGGAGUUCUGAGUUCCUGGCUUUGGCUCAGCCCUGGUUUUCUGUGGUCAUUUGGAGAGUGAACCUGUGGAUGCCAAAUGAGUCUCUCUCUCUCUCUC